AUCAAGUGAGGUGCAGGGUUCCGUGAAUGUACCUUGGGGUCAUUUUCCAGCCCCCACACAGCAGAGGGCUUCUGCUAGGCAGGGGACACUGGCUCUCCCAGCUCUGGUGGGAGGCGUCCCACUGACCUUCCAAACCUGCUCUUCUGUUUUCCCAGCCAAUUCUCAGGCACCAGGGUGGCAAUGAUGUCACCAACAGCAGUGACACAUUGGUUAUUUUUCUUCAGGACACUGCCCCGAGGAGGAUGGGCUGUUUACUUUGAGGUGAUGUGCCGAGAGCUGGAGACGGGUUCCACACGUCCUGAGACCGCUGCCUAGGAAGUGCUGCUGACCAGCCUCCUGCACGCAGAGUGAAGUCCAUGCCGAGCCAGCUGAGAUCCGUGAAGUGACCACCAGCAUGGCCGACACUCUGCAGAGAGGUCUUGUCAUUGUCUUGUAUUUGGAGUGCCACAGACUCAGGGCUGGAACCCUCAUGAGAGUCCCCAUCUGGUCACAGAGCACCGUGUUGGCUGGGCAAGGAGAGACGUGUGACCACAGCUGACUGACUCGUUAACGAGUCAGUGGGGACAGGAGAGGAGGUAGAGCCACACUCAGCACCUCACCUGGGCCACAGCCCUCGGGGCUCACCUGGCAGGCGGCAGAGGCGGCCGGGCGUCUUUGGCACAAGGUGCUUCUCCUGGGGAUGCAGGGGAAUGUGGGAGGAUGGGACUCGCUACUGCAGAGCCAGGGCCUGUGACAUCUGCUGUGGCCACGAUUCCAAGUCAUGGUGCACUGAGCCGUGAGCCCCACAGCUGGCCUGGCUCAGUGACUGCCCAGGGGACAGGGUGAGCUGGACACAUCCCUGUCGUCACGUCAAGAGAAGAGGAUGUCUUCACAGUGUUUCCGAAGACAAGAAGGGCUCUUUGGAGCUUUGAUUUCUUGGAAAAUACCACACACAGCAAAGAUUGGCACACUGUUGCAGAGUUUGCACAUAUCACACAAUGACGGGAAAUGUCCUGGCCUGGGACAUUCUCACUCAGUGGACCCUGAAGCUUGCAGAGAAAGGCGGCAGAAGGGAGCGCAGGCUUCUCUUCCAAAGACAGACACUCAGAUCUGUCGCGUUCCCGGUAACUAAAACACUCAGGGUCACUCCAGGGAACCUGGCUACACGAAAUAACCACACAGAGACAGAGAGACCUUUUUCUUUGGGGGCCCUGUGAUGGCUCCUCUGACCUUAGGGGUCCACAGAAAGACAGAGCAAGCGCAGGCUGAACCCUUUUUUGAGGAGAAGCCAUUCCAAUGAGGCCAGGGGUCAGGGUUCAGGGGGCAGAGUCUAGCUUCCUGAUGUCCACUGUCAGCAGGUUGACUGACGUCUAGGAAGGCCACACCCAAAGGCAGAGCAAGAGAAGGGGACACACAGAGGGCGUUUCCAUGGGACAUUCUAUCCCAAACAAGGGUUCAGCAAGGGGGUGAUAUCACAAAGGAACAGUGAGCGUAGCUUGACCCCUGGGGCUGCAGGAAGGUGCGCCUACGCAUGAAGACACAUUUUGCGACAUUUUGUGACUUCCAAGAUCAGGGCAGCCAUCUAGAGCCACUUUGAUGUGGCCAGAUCACUUGGAAGUGACCAACAGCGCCUCAACCGAUCAGAGGAUGGAAAUGCUGGUCACCUAGUGGGAUGGCCCCCCACAGAUCCAUGAGGGACUCUAGUUUUGAAAGCCCGGGUGCCUUAUCUGCCAUGUGUCCCUUGGGAGCCGUGCCUCCCAGGUGCACCAGAGCAUGGGCCAGGCUGGACCAUGGAUCAAGCAGUCUCCAGAUCCACGAUGGCUCAUUUCCAUCCAGGCUCCGUGCCCAGGAGAGGUGACAGGUUUUAACUGUGGUCCUGACCCCAGGACCAAGCCGGCCCCUGGCCAACCAAACACCACGCCUCCUACUGUGCAGGGGUGGGGCAGCAGGUGGCAGCCCAGUGUGGUGCUAGGAGUGACGUGGCAAUAGCAUCUGGACCAGCAGAGCCGUGCUGGGAUUUCUACAGUCCCUGAGCCACCUCAGCUCCUCCUUCUCACAGGCUUGUGUCCGGGAGGCCCCAUCACUGGCCGACCCAGGGAGGCCCAGCGCACAGGCUCCUGAGCAGCCACUGGCUCCUGGGCACAGCAGGAGCCACAGGGUAAGCAGAGGCCUGGGGGCAGCAGUUCUGCGGUCUGUCCAGAGGUCAGCAGCACAGCUCUGAGCCUCGGCACCCAUCCACUCCCCAGUCUUAGGAAGCUGCACUCUCGGGGCAGCAUGUCCAGCCAGUGUCCAGUUGGGUGCUGCCGGGCUGAGGAUGGCCUCCUCUUGAUGGGGUUUUUCUGGCUGCCAACCCCUGCUCACCCAGAUGGCUCAGGCCCACCUGCCACCCCUCCUCCUGCCCCGGGGACGUGGGGCCUGGCAGACGUCAUGGAGGGCACACCAUCCAGGUGCAGAUGGCCCCUGGGCCAGGACCAGCUGGCCCCUGGGCCACACUGGGAAGGGAAGCUCCUGCCCAGGGCUGCGAGAAGCACCAAUGUUGCUGCUCAGCCUCCUCCAAGGUGUGUUAAAAAUGGGACCAGCAGAGGCACCUCGUCCUCCGUGCGCCAGUGACACUGACAAUGAGACUAAAAAUAACAGGCGCUUCUCCUGCAGGCGAGAGUGCGAGCUCACGCUGCCUCCCGCACAGCGGCUCCCUCCCACACCACCGAGGGGCACAGAGCCAGGCAGCUGGAGCCACAGAGCAGAGCAGGGCCCUGGGCCCCUGGACCCCCACAGAUGGCCGCAAAUCCCACCUGACCAGCUGGCGUCACUGCCCAUGCACACUUGGACCCCACCAGCCAAUGGUUUUUGGAGUGGACUGGGAAAGGGCAGUGAAGGGCCACUUGGGCCUGUCUUUCCUGCUUCAGAACCGCUCUGGACUUUCUCCUGGUGCCAUUGGAUGUCCCUGUCCAGUGAGGAGGCUGGCAUGUUGGGGCAGUGGGCAUCACCUGAGCAGCACCAACCUCUCUCUCCCCUGGCUCAUGGCAGAGGGGUCUCCAACCUAGAGCUAGGGCCACAGGCUCCAGAAGCUCCAAAGUCCCUCCUCCACAGGUCAGGAGGCCGGGAGCAGGGGAGGUAGUCCAGUGGGUGGUGUAGGCCAGGUGAGGCCCCCGCCCUUGCUCCCCACCUGUUCGCCAUGUCCCCUGCCCUGUCGGGACAUGCCCCAGCAGUGCCACCUGGGAGCUCAGGGCUUGCACAGCCUAGACUGGGGCCCCUCACAAGUUCCUCCCAGUGGAGGGGCUGAGAGCCUCCUGCACCCCUGCUCCUGCCCACUCCACAUUCCCUGGCCACAGCUCCAGCACAUGGACCUGGACUUGUGGGACUUGUGAGGCGACAGGAGGCACAGGAAUCUCAAGCCCAGAGAGCACCCAGGGCACCAGGCUCCUCCUGUCUCCUCCCAUCUGCCGACGUGUCCUCCCUGCCAAGUGGGGCAGGGCCUGGGAGGAGGUCGCAGAGCCACCUCUAGAUGGGGUCUCUCCACUGGGGCCUGGCUUGGAGACAGUGGAGUCAGGGUCCCCUCCAACCAGCUGCUCUGGGGCAAGAGCCACGGCCUCCAUGCAGGCAGCAGCUCUGUCCCUGCCACGCCUGCAGGGCCCCAUGGCAUCCACAUUGCCCAGUCUCUGCCCAGGCCCUCUGGACAGGACCUGGUACCCAGAAUGGGGGAGGCACAGGAACCUCAAGCCCAGAGAGCACCAAGGGCUUGAGCCGGUGUUGAGGGAUGACUCUUGCUGAGGGUCACCAAGGACCCCACCCACCCUUCCUCUGGCCCUCAGGAGACCAGCCUGCCUCCAGUUCCCUGGCCAUCUACUCCCAGGCCAAGGAGAGAAUGAGGCCCUUGUGUGGGGACAGAAGCCCCUGCAGGCCAGGGUGUGCAGACAGGGCCCCGUCCAGUCGUGCUCCACUGUCCCAGGGUGGUGGCAGCAGCUUCUUGGCUCCCUUCCCCUCCCAGGAGGCGGGCAGCUCUGCCAGCUGUCUCCAGAAAGUGUUUGUGAUCCGACUCCUGGAAAAACCAUCUGAUUGACAGGCUCCGAGAGAUGGGCAAACCCCACCGCAGGGCAGGAGGCAGGGGUUUCUUCAGAUCCCCUGCCAGGCUGGAAUCCAGCACUAAGUGGGGACAUGAAGGGCCCUGGAAAACUCAGAGCACGUGGGUGUCCGGCUCCCAUGGGCACUGAUGCCACAGAAUCUUAUUUUGUAGGCCCCUGCCCCAAGCAAAUGGAGGCCUUGGUCCAGGAGGUCAAGUCCAAGGGGGCUAGGGAUAUAGCUCAGUUGGUAGAGUGUUUGCAUGCACAAGGCCCUGGGUUCUAAUCCCCAGCGCACACACACAAAAGGUCAAGUUCAAGAACAAAAAGACUGCCCCCCAACACACACACACACACAGGGGCAAAAACAAAAUCUACACACACGCAUGCUCGCACACUCGCUCACACAGGCAUGCACACACCAGCCCUGUCUCAGCACUGUGGGGUGUGUUGAGGACCAGUGGCUAACGAGUAUUGAAUAACUGAACAUAAGGGACAUGCUGCUAGGUCUCACCGUCGGAUGGGAGUCCUGCUGUAGCGCAGCGUUCGGCAGAACGCAUCCACUGCCACCUCCACUGGCCACCCCAUGAGCAUCACCGUUGCCCAAGCUCUCAGCACCCCUGCAGCCCACAGCCAUAGGCCCACAGGCCACCAAAGGGCUAGAUCUGUGUGUAGGAGGAACGGCCUCUGAAAGGGACUGCUCCAUCGCAGCACCAGCCAACCAGGACACACCUGGACAGUCCCCUUGCUCUGCCCCUGCAGCAUCCUGAGGCUCACUGCAGCUGAGCUCUGUGACCCUAAGGGUGGGAAACUGCAGCUGGACCUCAGGGCCCUCUCAGGACACUACAAAGAGCCCAAGGACACAGGCCUCACUGACAACACCCCAUCUCAGUGUGGCCCUGCUGCCUGUGUGGGUCACACACGUGGGUGGGGCCUCAUCAAGGUGCCAACAUGGAGGAUGGCUAACAUCAGCUGCUCCUGGUCUAUCUCUGGUCAUCCGCAGGGUGCCAGGGCCUUGACCUGUUGAGAUAUAGGCUUGGCCCUCCCCACAGAUGGUUCUAAGUCUGUGACCCAGGAGAAAAGAGCCUAGGGUGGGUACACCUGUAGAGGUGUGCUCUGGGCAGAGAUGUCACAGUGAGGAGGUAAUGGGAGCAGGAACCCUGGUGCCCUCCAGGACAGGGGGUACAGUGCCCUGAGAGAAGCAGAGGUGGCCCUGGAAUGCUGCUACCUGUUGGCAGCAGCCAGGCCCCUGGGUGGCCCCAUGGCUCUGGGCCCCCACUCCUUGUCCUCACAGGGGAGGGCUGACUAUAAACUGGGAGUCUUACGUGAGGAUCUCCAAGUCCAGUUGCACCCCGUCUGGGGCCUGGCAGCUAGUGAGGCUUUGACUUCAUACCCCACCUCCUGGUGUCACGUUGCCAGGAGCUGAGGAGGGAGACCCUGCUGGGCUCUCCCUCUGCGGCCUGCCUGAGCAGUGGCCCUCUGGGCACACAGAGGCACGCUGCAGAGCAGCUGGCCAUAGUUCUUGGCAUGCACUCACACUAGGCUGAGAUGCUGCUCACAUUUUUCUAGGUGUGUAUAGUGGAAACAAAACCAAAAUAUUAUCACAAGGCUAAGUUUGUUUUACAGCUGCUUAUGAUCUAUGAUGGUGCUUGUUUGAGCCUCAUCUAAACAGCUUCCCGGAGCUCCCAGCCACUUCCACCCCCACACACACUCCCUGGCAGCUGAGUCUGAGGGUGACUCCAGAGGUUCUCCACGCAGCACCAGGGGAGAGAAGCCCUGGCCUGAGGGGUGGGGUCUUCUCAGCAGGAGGCUGACACCCUGAGGCUCCAGGCCCGGUUUUCUCCUGGGCAUAGCUGGACAAGUUCCAGUUCUUAGGGUUGAGAUUGAAGGAGAAACUCAUUUUCUCAGCAGGGGUGUUAUCUGCCAAGGGCUUGGGAUUCCUGUAUUUGCUGUGACUAACCUGACCAUGCGGUUCUGAAGCUAUGGAGCUUGUUUGUGGGAGGAAUUUUGAAAAGUUCAGAGUUGCAAGCUGGAAAAACUUUAGAAUGUUAUAGCUUAACUGAAAAUUCUGGUGGGAGCUCAGAAGACCAGGACUGUGGACAGUAAAGACUGGGCUCAUUAGGUUGCAGAGCAGAAAUAGGACUCUAUCGGAAACUGGACUAUAGGCCAUUUGUCUUAUGUUCUGGCUAUGAAGUUGUCUGCAUUUUGCCCACAUUCUGAGAUUUUCUGUGAGGUUAAAUUUAAAGGUGGUGGAUUAAUUAAUGUGGUGGAAAAAAUUUCAAGGCAGCUCAGCAUUCAGGAGGUAGUGUAGAUAUUGCUGGUGGCUUCUAGCCAAGUUUACUUUGAUAAUCAGGAGUAGGAGGUAGAGCAAAAAAAAUUGAAAAACUUGCAGUGUGUAAAACUAAGGCCAAGGAAGAUAUGGUUAUUAAAGAAAUUAUAACUACUACAGAAAUGCUAAGUACUUUACCCAGAAACAAUAAGAGAGAGGGUUUGAGGGGAUCCCAGGAAUUGGCAAGACCACACCCAUCUAGGGUCAAGGGUGUAAAAGUAAAAAUUCCUUUGAGAAGAGACCAGUGCACCCUGCAUGAACAGGAGUUCCUAGCAAGUUGUUUCACUGUGCUUGGCUGCCCAGGCACUCAGAGGCUGCUGCAGCCAUGGUCCCUGGAGGUGUGGCUACUGCUUAAGAUGGAGGCAGACGCUAGUGUCAUCCAUGUGAUGCUGGUUUUGCAGAAAUGCAGGAUGCUGGAGGUAGGGGGUCAGGGACGAUUCCACUGAGAUUUCAAAGAAAGGCCUCAGAGGCAUAAGCAGCCUCUGUUGACGUCUUGCUCCUGCAUCAAGGCCACUGUGAGCCAUCAACUCUGCUCAGCUCCAUGUGGUCCUCACAGCAGGACCUAGCUCACCAGAGGCCACAUCUGCAGACUAGUAACAAAUGCACCCCACAUACACACACUACAAGCUGACAGGUGCUAUGCAGAGCACCUCCCAGGGUCUUGCAGGAAGGCCUCUGCUGGGCUCAGCCAUGAUGGGCAGGCACACAGCCAGGAAGUCCCUGCUUCCUAGGAAGGUCAAAUGGGAACAAAGGCUGCAGGCGAGUCACCCAUGAGCAGGGGCCAGUUUCCAAAAUGAAGCCCCAGGAAGGAAAUUCAGCAGGCUAAGGACUGCUCUGUACCCCGAUGAGACCUCAGGAACACAAAGUCCCAGGGCCUGAGGAGUUGAACAGGCUCACCCGGAGGCCUGGCGGGGGAAACAGCAACAAGCUCAGAGCUUCUCAGCGGAUGCAGGAAGCAGCUUGACAGGUCCCGCCUCUUCUGAAAAUGCUGCACAGCCCGGAAGAGCAGGACCUGCUCCUGAACCAGGGGUCCACACUGAAAAGCCAACGCCUGGCCUAACUGGCAGAAGGCUUGGGUGUUUCUCCAAAGACUCUGGAAAAUCCUGAGUGACUUCUCCAAGAUCAAGGCCUGAUGCAGCGAGGUGGGACCCAGCCAAGGGAAAGAGGGGAGUAACGGGGGAAGGGCUGCCCAGCCCGGUGCGGUCAGCCUGUGGGGAGCAGGGCCCCAGGGCGGGGAGCCCUGCGGAUAGUCCACCAUCUCUGCGAGCUGUGCUCCAGGUGCCCACCCCGGCUGGCUGUUUUCCCAUGCCAAGGCUCUGGACACGGCAAAUCUCGUCACAUAGUAGUGACACUGACAGUAAUAAGUGGCACGUCAGAGAUGGACGAGGUGACCUACCUGUGGGUGCUGAGGAGGCAAGCCCCUCCCCAGACAUCCUGACCGGGACAGGCGAGUCAUCCAGACUGCCUGCCUGCUGCCCAGGCCUCCUACAUACUCCACCCUGAGUUUAACCCCAGCCUGCGUCAAGGGCCAAGUUGCUACAAGUAAACCUUCAGCUCUGCAGAGACCCCCAUCCAGGCCCAGAUGUGCGGGGUCCCAGGAGGGGGCAGUGAAGAGUGGGCAGGACCGCCGGCAGCCCUGAAAGGCCUCUGCCUCCAGGAUCUCAGGAGGCUCUUGAGAGGAGACACAGUGAUCCAUGCAGCCAGGAGGGGUGGACAGGUCUGCAGUGGGGCAGGGGAAUGGUCUCUGUAGGGGCCCAGAGGUGGCAAAGCAGACAGGAGUUCCCAGGAGCUGGAGGGAGCCCAGUGAGACUGCUGCUGAUGAGCCACGUGCUCAGGGCCAGGUACUGGAGGCUGGGGUGGGCAGAGGCCCUGAGCCAAGCCACGGGUGGAUGGGGCCUUCUGGAAAGCUGCAGGCCACCUGAAGGCGUAGGCUGGCCAGUGGGCUGCACCCAGGCCCCCAAUUCCACCCAGAACCGCCUGAGCAGGCCAGCCUUUUACCUGUCCUGGAGGGCCAUCCCUGCUCCCCUCCUGGGGAUGGCUGAGUGCCUCCAGGCUCUUGUGGAAGGCAGCCAAGGCCACAGGUCUUCAGAUCUCAGCUUUCGAGAGCUUCAGAGUCCCAGACCCCGCAGAUGAGAAGCCCCAAGCUGCUCUCACAACCUGAGGGGUCUCACACUGGACCCCGCCCCCAGGCAAGGGAGUGGUGGGCUGUGUCAUGUGGUCACUGCCCAGCCCUGCCAUCUGGCAGGACUGGGUGCCUCUGUACUCAGCACCCGCCCAUCCGGCAGAGGUCCUUGACUCCUCGCUGAGCCCUGGCGAGCAGGAACAUGGCCGGGCACCAUCUGAGGCUGAACACUGGGGAUUCAGGUGCCAAGCCACCCUCCGAGUACAGGACAGAUAGGCCCUGGAGCUCGAUCCUGUCCCCACACAGGUGGCAAACCAGCAACCAGGGGCCCUCACAGUGGCCUCAGUAUGGCCGCCCAACCUUACCCCCUAAACCCCGGGAGGACAGAGGGUGAGGGCCCCUGGCUGUGUCAGGGCCAGCAUGCAGCCACAUCACAGCUGGAGCCCAGGCCCCUGAGCCCAGGCCCUCAGGCUCACGGCCCUGGGGCAGCCUCUCCCCAGAGCCUGGCUUCCAGCCAAGCUCCCACCCCCUCCAGGACAGAUCAAUGGCUGGACCUAGCCUGUGCCCACAGAGGGUGUGGCACUCCAGGUUGGUCUAGUGCUGAGAGGAGGGGCCGGAGCCCCAUGCGUAGGUGGGGAGCCCAGUUGACCCGAGAGGGAGGUCAGGGACAAAAGCUGCCCUUCACUACAGAACUUGGGAGCACAGAGCCUGGAGCUGGUCAUGAGGGAGGUCCAGGGAACCAGCAACAGGCCAGGGGCAGGGGGGCUCCCGAGCUCAGGCCCCACCAGGGCUUCUGUGCCAGUCAAGGAUGUCCUGCACGUUUUGGCACUGAUCCUUGCCCAGGCUGCUCAACAGGCCAUGGACUGUCCCUAGCUGCGGCAGGAGGACCUCCUGAGGGAGUGAUUUUGGAAGCAAGUCACUGAGGUCUUCUGACACCAUCUCAUGCCACAUCUGUACUGCAGGGGACAGGUGCCCUCCCAGGGCAUAGACCCAACGGCCCAGGCUCCACAGGGUCAGCCUCAGCGCCAGUCACAGCCUGGACUCCUCUCCACUUGGCUCCCUUCUGGAAGAUGGGAGUCUCCUGCCCAAGCUGGGCCCUGUGGAGACCAGCACCCCGGGCAACAGCUUUCUUGUCACAGGAGCAUCCUGCCUUGGGACUUUGGGCCUAAUCCUGGGCUAAGAAGAGACAGUUGCAAGGAGGUGGUCUUCCUCCCACUAUCCCCAGGGCCAGGUCACUGCUUCUGCUGGACACCUGCUGCCAGCCCCCUGCCACUGUGUGUACCCACUGGUUGUGAAAAGCACUUGCAGGACCUGCCGCCUCAUCAGGGGAACUUAGAGCACAGACCAUGGCCUGCAGUUGAGGGCAGCCCAUGGACAUCCAUGUGGUCAGUUCCUGCGGAGAAGGUCCAGACCUUGGCUUGUGGUCACUGGGUGGGAACUCAGGGGUCCUGUCAGGCCAACCCCUCCUGGGACCUCGUGGCCUCCAGGAAAGGUGUUGGAAGCAGGGCUGGCUGACCAGUCAGGGCUGCACCCAGGCCCCCAACUCCCCACCCACCCAGAACUGCCAGAAGAGAUGGCCUCGACCACCCACUGCUGAAGAACCCUGUGGGCGUCUCACAUCCCCUCAGCCCCGUCUCCACGGCUGGCAGGUGGAGCUGCGGGUGCAGGACGUCCCUGUGGUGCCAGGAAAUCAGGGGCACAGUGGGGUCCUCUGCUCAGGGCUUCCUGGCCUGCAUGCCCAGUCUGGCUGCAGGACAGACCCACUAGUGUCCUGGCCCCCGUGCACAGCCCCAUGGCAGCAUCACCAACCCCCGCCCCCGCCCCACUGACUACAAACCUCAAAGGGCAGCAGGGUGCACUGGACACAGCAGGCCCGCUGCCCUGGCCAAGUCUCUGACCAAGGUGGGGUCACGUGGUCAGGAACAGGGCGCUCCCAGGAAGGAGCUUUCUUCCCCUCGCUCAGCUCUCCUUGCUGCCCCACCUCCCUCCCACCUGGGGAGGGGACGCCAGUUGGGUGCACUGGAUGGCAUUUUCGCUGCUGACUGGAACCCCACGACUCGCACAAUUCAGAGGGGAAAGGUCAUCUGGAUCAGGGCUAAGGCUCAGCCCAUGGCCAGCGGCUGCAGCUGAGGCAGAGCUUCACAGCAGCUGGACUGUGUGGGGAGGAAGCCACUCGGCUCCUGGCUGCUGGACGGAUCCACUGAUGAGGUCGGAGUCCCCAUGACCCAACCACCAUCCCAAAGGCCCCACCACUGUACACUGCUGCACCAGGGACCAAACCAUCACACCAGCCCUGGCUAGAGGUGGAAGUGGACAUGGCUGGGUGGGCCUGGAGAAAAGCUUUUACAAGAGAACAGAAGUAACCUUCCUAGUUCCUUCUUCCUCCUGCCUGGGAUGUGCAUGUGAUGGCUGGGGCUUGCUCGGCCAUACUCUAGAAUGAGGACAAGUACGAGACAGUGGCGCCUGGGCUGCUGAUGGCAUCAUGAAGUCUUGCACUGACACAUCCACAGAUGAGCUUCACGUGGGAUGGGUCUCUUCUCUCCUGCAGCACGUGGCAGGGGCUGGACAAAGAUCACACCAGAACAGAUGGCUGAAUGAAUGGGGUGGAGCUAGACAUGGCCCUGCCAAGGGACAGGCUUGGGCAGGAGCUGGGCCACAACUGGGCAGGCCAGGCUGCUCCAGUCAGAUCCUGGGCCACAUGCCAGAGACGCCAGGGUCCCAGGAGGUGAGAAGAAACGCUGUAGAGAUCCUUCCUGCAGAGUGAGCAGAGGCCUGCCGUGUGCCCAGCCCCCAGUCACGCCUCAUCAGGUAAUGAGAACCGGCUCCCGACCCCAGCGGAGGGGAGAGCCAGGGUGGAAGAGACCACCGCCUCUCCAGAAAACCCAGACACCAAACGACAAGAAGGCUUGUGGCUCACUCCAGGAGGUGCAGUGGGGGUUGUGCCCCGGCAGUCCUGACAUGGGUCCUGCCUGUCACCUACUGAGGUGACUGGGGGACACCAGGGGAAUCAGGAUCCCUCCAUGAAACCAUCUCUCUCCAGAUGAGAAACCAAGGUGCCUGGAGGCCUGUGUGUGUGUGCGUCUGCAGGUGUGUGCAGUAUCUGGUGCACACGUGGUAUGGGUGUACCUCACUUGCCCUGGGUCAAGGGCGGAAGGCCUGGGGGUAGGCUCACGGGCAGGGAGCAGCCCCACACCUAGCACCUGGUUCUCCAGGUCUAGUGGGCCUGGUGGAAGCCUCCCCUCGGGCCUCGUCUCCCCACCAGGGAGGACAAGCCCCACCCCUGGGCUUCCCAGCCAGGGAUGCCCGUCUCUGGCUCCAGAGCCUGUUUCUGGUGAUGUGGACAAGAGGGAUGAGGCCCCAGGCCCCAAAAGGCCUUGCAGGGACCCCAAAGCCUCUGCAUCUGCUCCUUCAGGAAGAAGCACCUGGAUUCAGAAACACAAGUGACUGCUCAUUUUUCUCCGAGUGACAUCCUACAAAAUUCUGACAUUUCAAUUUCAGUCUUAAGGAAGACUCGAACACAACCCAGCUCCAGGAGUGGGCCUGAAAUCACUGUUUUAACUCACAUUAUUUUUACACCUUUACAAGAAAAAUACAGCCCAACUGGGACUCGUUGACUUUACAAUAGGGCCAGGGUCUGUGGAGGAGCCAAGGCCAGAUGCCCCAGGAGCAGGGCUUCAGAGGAAGGUAGCAGGGCCACCUCCUGCCAUCUGCCAGCCUGCAGCUCCUCGCAUCCUCAGAAACCCAAGCCAGGUCACAGGCUGCAGUGGAGAACACGCUGGAGGCUGGAGGCCUGGUAUCCCGGGGAGUCACAUGCAGGCAGGACCUGGGUGGCAGCCAGCACCUCCCAAGGUUUCGGAUGAUGUUUUCACUGCACAAGGAACAUUCCAGAAGCAACAUGCCUGCUGUGUGUUCAGCACUUGGCUCCCGAGCCGCAUAGGAGCCUCCCAGCUUGGGAGCCGCGUCAGCAUAGGUGUCUUGCCCACCUCCAGCUCUGCUGGGGCCACUGCCCACCUGCCCAGGACACGUCUGGCGAUGUCUCAUCAGCCUUCACUCAGUAGCCAUGCUGUGGCUCAGGCGGGGGUGGACGAGCCAGAGACAGCCUCUUCUGAACAAAGCCUUGUGGACAGGGUGGUCAUGCCUCCAACCAACUUCAGUGUGGAAGUGUGAAGCCAGGCAGGCCAACCCCUCAGGGCCGGGCACAGGCCCUGCUGCUUCCAGGCCACCUGGCCCCCCUCCACCUCCUCCCAGACCCCCUGCUGGGGUAACCCAUCUGCUCCUCCUGGGUGCCCUAGUUGGCUCAUGGCCCUGACAGCAGGGAAGGAGGCCAGGCUCUAGGUGGAUGGAGACCGAGGGGGAGGGCUGCUGGGGACGUGGGAGCCAGGUGCAGGGCGCGGCCACCCAGCCCUCCACUCACUCACCCAGCAGCACCCCUUCUAGGUACCCUACAGUGCGGGUCUGUGCCCUCAGGAAUGAAGGGACACAACCAGCAGGGAACCUUCAGGCACAGGCGUGCAGGUGCUCAACCUCAAAGAGAGAGUCCUGCCUCCCAGCCCAGCCCCUCUGGCAGGGCCCCUCCCCACAACCCCAAGCCCAGCUCUGCUGCAUACAGGUCCUCGCCUGUGUCACCAACACCUUUCUUCCCUGCCCCACCAACCCAUGUGUCACCAGGCAGGGAUGGGGGCUUCUAGAACUGCAGGGCCCGCCGGACUGGUGGUGCUUGCCUGUAAUCUCAAGAGGCUGAGGCAAGAGGAUUAAAAGUUCCAGACCAGCCUCAGCCACUUAGUGAGACGUCAUCUCAAAAAACAGGAAGGGCUGGGGUGCGGCUCAGUAUAAAACGCCCCUGGGUUCCAUCCAUCCUCAGUACAAAAAAAAAAGUUCUGGUACCCAAGAAACCCCCAACCCAAGGA